UGUAAAAAUAGCUGGGCCCACUCACUCCACACUGCUGGCUGCUCUGUCCGAAGACUGUCUGCGCCCCCGGUUUACUCGGUGCCCGAGCUGCUUCCACCCGCCUCUAGCACGGAGGGAGGCGUCUUGGCAGUGGUCUGGCUCCAAGGUGCCUCAGGAACAGAGCCCGCUGCCCCUUAGAUCUCGUGUUGGAUGAGAGAUUCUCCUUCUGGCCUUGAAGAAGAAGCAAGAAUUCUACAGCUAUAAGAAAAUGAAUUCUGCCAACAACCACAUGAGCUUGGAAGAAGACCCUGAACUGCAGCUAAGGCCUCCAUCCAGGUGGAGGAUGGUGACUCCAUGCUGAGACCCCAGACUGGCUGGAACCAGGAGGUUAAGAUUGCGAUUCCUGGAACACCACCCUCUUACCUCACCACCAACCAAUCAGAAGAAAGUCACACAUCCUGCAGCCCUCACCCCAAAUGUUACCU